rnacentral:rRNA from 1 species
GUGUUUAUUGUACCUUGUUGCUUCGGUGCGCCCGCCUCACGGCCGCCGGGGGGCUUCUGCCCCCGGGUCCGCGCGCACCGGAGACACCAUUGAACUCUGUCUGAAGAUUGCAGUCUGAGCAUAAACUAAAUAAGUUAAAACUUUCAACAACGGAUCUCUUGGUUCCGGCAUCGAUGAAGAACGCAGCGAAAUGCGAUAACUAAUGUGAAUUGCAGAAUUCAGUGAAUCAUCGAGUCUUUGAACGCACAUUGCGCCCCCUGGUAUUCCGGGGGGCAUGCCUGUCCGAGCGUCAUUGCUGCCCUCAAGCACGGCUUGUGUGUUGGGCUCCGUCCCCCCGGGGACGGGCCCGAAAGGCAGCGGCGGCACCGAGUCCGGUCCUCGAGCGUAUGGGGCUUUGUCACCCGCUCUGUAGGCCCGGCCGGCGCCAGCCGACAACCCAUCAUCCUUUUCAGGUUGACCUCGGAUCAGGUAGGGAUACCCGCUGAACUUAAGCAUAUCAAUAAGC